UACGAAGGGGGCGAGCGUUGUUCGGAUUUACUGGGCGUAAAGGGCGCGUAGGCGGCCUUGUCAGUCAGGCGUGAAAGCCCCGGGCUCAACCUGGGAACGGCGCUUGGGACGGCGAGGCUGGAGUUCGGGAGAGGAGAGUGGAAUUCCCAGUGUAGCUGUGAAAUGCGCAGAUAUCAGGAGGAACACCAAUGGCGAAGGCAGCACUCUGGGACGUGACUGACGCUGAGACGCGAAAGCGUGGGGAGCAAACAGC
rnacentral:rRNA from 1 species